GCCCAGACUCCUACGGGAGGCAGCAGUGGGGAAUAUUGGACAAUGGGGGGAACCCUGAUCCAGCGACGCCGCGUGAGUGAAGAAGUAUUUCGGUAUGUAAAGCUCUAUCAGCAGGGAAGAAAGAAAUGACGGUACCUGACUAAGAAGCCCCGGCUAACUACGUGCCAGCAGCCGCGGUAAUACGGAGGAUGCGAGCGUUAUCCGGAUUUAUUGGGUUUAAAGGGUGCGCAGGCGGAGGUGCAAGUCAGCGGUCAAAUUGCGGGGCUCAACCCCGUACUGCCGUUGAAACUGCAUCCCUUGAGUGCGCGAGAAGUAUGCGGAAUGCGUGGUGUAGCGGUGAAAUGCAUAGAUAUCACGCAGAACUCCGAUUGCGAAGGCAGCAUACCGGCGCUCAACUGACGCUGAAGCACGAAGGCGUGGGUAUCGAACAGGAUUAGAUACCCCAGUA
rnacentral:rRNA from 1 species